CCUACGGGUGGCAGCAGUGAGGAAUAUUGGACAAUGGACGAGAGUCUGAACCAGCCAAGUAGCGUGAAGGAUGAAUGCCCUAUGGGUUGUAAACUUCUUUUAUAAAGGAAUAAAGAGAGAAACGAGUACCUUUUUGCAUGUACUUUAUGCAUAAGAAUAGGCUAACUCAGUGCCAGCAGCCGCGGUAAUACGGAGGAUCCGAGCGUUAUCCGGAUUUAUUGGGUGUAAGGGGAACUUAGAUGGUUUGUUAAGUCAGUUGUGAAAGUUUGCGGCUCAACCGGAAAAUUGCAAUUGAUACUGGCAGUCUUGAGUACAGUAGAGGUAGGUGGAAUUCGGGGUGUAGCGGUGAAAUGCUUAGAGAUCACGAAGAACCCCGAUUGCGAAGGCAGCCUACUAAACGGUGACUGACAUUGAUGUUCGAAAGUGUGGGUAUCAAACAGGAUUAGAUACCCGGGUAGUC
rnacentral:rRNA from 1 species